UUGCUUCGCGGAGCGGGCGUAUUUCCACGCAUGGCAGGUCAGCGUCAGUUUUGUGCGGCGUGAAAAGGUUCGGGUAAGGUAGCUCUCUUCGGGGAGUGUUAUAGACCUGGGCAGAUGCGCUGCGCGGGACUGAGGAUUGCAGCGGACACCCCCCUCGGGGGCGCGGCGACCGAACCCUGCUCGGCCACCCGAGUUCGAUAGCGUGCUAACGGACGCGGGAGCGGCGGUGCACCGGAACAGGCAAGCCAGCGG
rnacentral:rRNA from 1 species